rnacentral:lncRNA from 1 species
CACCUAACUAGUCAAAGAACAGAGUUACAAGAGACAUGCUGAUUCAACGAAUGGAGAUGAGUAAACUGAAUUGCAGAGAGCUUAGAUGACUUGAAAGAGACUUGACAGCUGAGCAGGGAGACCAUCUGUAGCCACCUCCCUGUCACAAGGAAGCCUGCACAUAGAGACCUCCCAUAGAGACGAAAUAUAUCUACAAAAGGGUCACUGCCCUUGCAAGGAAAAUGCGAUCCCAGCACGGCCUGGCGUGUUCCUGGCGGCAGAAAGGACUCCUGCCAGGACAGGAGGAGAAGUUGCCGCUGAGACGAGGAGACGGCGGGAAGCCCUGCAGAUGCCCCAAGCCCACUGAAGCCACAGGAGGGGAAGGGAGGAGGCUGCUGUGCUUUCUGUGUACCUUGUUCUCUGCCCAGAAGGGUCAGCACAGCCAGGCAGCCCCGAAACCCAGUGGAGGCUAAAGAAAGGAGGGCCCUCUCUCCUAGAGAAGGCUCAGUAGGCUCCCGAGGAAAGGGAAGGAGCAACUUUUUCCGUUUGACUUCAAGGAGGAGGGGGAAAGGGUACAGAAUCAAAAUGUAUGGCACUUGCGAUUCAGUUGGCUUAUUUCUGAAAAAAUUGGGGUAGAUUGGGCGCCCAAUGCACCAUAAGCGUUAUGUGUGUUUGUAAACACACACGGGGGUGUACACAGGGGUAGGGGUCUUAGAGAGAAAAGUAAAAAGGGAAAAGAAGGAAAGUAGCAGAGGCUACUUUACACAUAAAAGUACAUAAAUAAGUUUACUUAUGAAGACCAUGGUUUCCCACUAACAGCCCCAUCUUGGUAGCAGAAUGGGACAAACUGUCACACA